rnacentral:rRNA from 1 species
CCUACGGGAGGCAGCAGUGAGGAAUAUUGGUCAAUGGACGAGAGUCUGAACCAGCCAAGUAGCGUGAAGGAUGACUGCCCUAUGUGUUGUAAACUUCUUUUAUAUGGGAAUAAAAUGUUCCACGUGUGGGAUGUUGUAUGUACCAUAUGAGUAAGGAUCGGCUAACUCCGUGCCAGCAGCCGCGGUAAUACGGAGGAUCCGAGCGUUAUCCGGAUUUAUUGGGUUUAAAGGGAGCGUAGGUGGAUUGUUAAGUCAGUUGUGAAAGUUUGCGGCUCAACCACAAAAUUGCAGUUGAAACUGGCAGUCUUGAGUACAGUAGAGGUGGGCGGAAGGCGUGGUGUAGCGGUGAAAUGCUUAGAUAUCACGAAGAACUCCGAUUGCGAAGGCAGCUCACUGGACUGCAACUGACACUGAGGCUCGAAAGUGUGGGUAUCAAACAGGAUUAGAUACCCGGGUAGUC